rnacentral:rRNA from 1 species
UGAGUAACCUGCCUCAAAGAGGGGAAUAGCCUCCCGAAAGGGAGAUUAAUACCGCAUAAUAUGUUUAAGUCGCAUGACUUUAACAUCAAAGGAUUUUCUUUUAGAAAUUCCACUUUGAGAUGGACCCGCGGCGCAUUAGCUAGUUGGUGAGGUAACGGCUCACCAAGGCAACGAUGCGUAGCCGACCUGAGAGGGUGAUCGGCCACAUUGGAACUGAGACACGGUCCGGACUCCUAGAGA